ACGGGAGGCAGCAGUGGGGAAUAUUGGGCGAUGGGCGAAAGCCUGACCCAGCAACGCCGCGUGAAGGAAGAAGGCCUUCGGGUUGUAAACUUCUUUUGUCAGGGACGAAGGACGUGACGGUACCUGACGAAUAAGCAACGGCUAACUACGUGCCAGCAGCCGCGGUAAUACGUAGGUUGCAAGCGUUGUCCGGAUUUACUGGGUGUAAAGGGCGCGUAGGCGGGGAUGCAAGUCAGAUGUGAAAUCUAUGGGCUUAACCCAUAAACUGCAUUUGAAACUGUAUCUCUUGAGUGUCGGAGAGGUAGAUGGAAUUCCUAGUGUAGCGGUGAAAUGCGUAGAUAUUAGGAGGAACACCAGUGGCGAAGGCGAUCUACUGGACGAUAACUGACGCUGAGGCGCGAAAGCGUGGGGAGCAAACAGGAUUAGAUACCCUGGUA
rnacentral:rRNA from 1 species